AACUGCUCAUUCAGUGCUGCUGUGCAUAUAGGUGUCCCUAAAUGAACAGUGUACCUGUUGUGCUGUUUCUUGAGUCCCAAAGCUAUCACCAAAGAUGGUGUGUGUGGAGCUGCGCAUGGAGAAUGCUGUAUCCACAGAGCCUGCUGUUGGUGUCCUGGUCUGCUCUCACGUGCCUGUUCUUUGGAGAUCAGGAAGGAAUUCAGUUGGGGCUGAAUGGCAAGCUGUGCCACUGUAUUGUUGGUAGAUCACCACCCUUGUAAGAAAAUAAAAAUACCCACCAUACACCAUGAAGGAACCUCCUUUUGAUCUUCUCUGAGUAUGUAGGUCACUUAAUGUGAAUAGGAUUUAGAAGCCAUUUUUACAGCACUUGGUUUUUAUUUGCCACAAAAUGCUCAUGGUGGAUGCUAUAAAAAACAAAAGUUUUAAAUAGACCUAAGCUUUUAUCUCCAUUUGUGUAUCAUAUGGAAUACCUUAUUUGUACUGAUAGGUUUUUGUUCAAGAUCUCCCUGUGUCAGGAAAUUUUUUGUUCUGAUAGACCUCGCUCAAUUAUCUUCAACACAAAAAGAGACAGAGCAUGUCUCCAACUUUAUGCUGCCCAGGGAGGA
ensembl:lncRNA